rnacentral:lncRNA from 1 species
GAAUCAUGUUCUUUCCCUUUCCUCCCCCCACCCCUUCCUGUAGGCAACACACAAUUCCACUGGGUAUUACAUGUGCCCUUGAUCAGAACCUAUUUCCAUAUUGUUCAUAUUUGCAACCUCCAAUCAUAUCCCAUUGAACAUCGUGAUCAAGCACUUUUUUCUUCUGCCUAUAAACUUGCACUUUCACCUCUUUCCUUAGUGUGUAGCUGGUUUUAUUGGAGGAUCAAAAGAAAAGGUGUUUGUUUUUUUGCCACUAACAAUAUGAAAGCCAUUGUCCAAGUGUCUUUUGUCCUAGGGUAUCGCCAGUCUGGUCACCCAGGACCUCCUCCCUCAUCCCCCCGCCAGGGUUUCUCUUUGCCCAAAUGAACUUAAUUGUACAUUUAUGGGUUUGACAACUCCAGCUGGCAUUUCUAGAACAAUUUAAUGUUUGCAAUGCACUUUCAGUGGGCCGGUGUUUGAUCUUCACAACAACCGUCCAAGGAGGAGCUAUUCUCGUUCCUAGUUUACAGACUAAAAAAUGAGCAAACGGGUUAAGCAGCUUGCCCAAGGCCACACAGCUAAGAAGCAUGGAACGCAGAUCUGAACUUGGGUCUUCUCUCCGUGGCUCUUAUGCACAGCCAGCGUGUUUAUAGUCUACUCUGUACCCAUGUUCUAGGCUAGCCCGGUGGCAUCCACCCAUCAAGAGGACCGUGGCUCAUGCACGGAGCACAGCAGGGUCUGAAGGGUGCUCCAGGCCACUCGUGGAGGGCUGAGAAUGGAAUGAAGCUGAAGAUGACAUUUUCUACGCGGCACCCAUUCACGAAAUGUUUGCUUAUUUAAAGACACAGGACAGAAAUCAGGAAACCUUUUGAAGCGCACAUUCCUGCGAGGUAGAAAUCUUUAUUCUAUGCCUGUCCUUCUUGGGCUCCUAUUCUCUCUACAGCAUGUUUUAUCCUCAAGAGGAGCAAUUGUGACAGUUUCAUAGGAUAUAUUUCGUCUAUGUAACUUUCACUCUGUAUAGACGGUGCGUGUGUGCUUUCGUGUAAGCCUUGGGGGAGGAGGGGGGCAGCCAGAGCUAUCGGGAACUUCUGGGGAAGGAGUCCUGCGUGCCUGUGGGAAUACAAAUAUCUACACGGCUAUGUUAUAUAUAGGGGAGAGGAGGGAAAAGGGCUCUGAGCUGGAGGGGCGAAUGCAAUUCUCUCAUUUCAUAGAUGAGGAAGCUGAAGCUCAGUGAGGUUAAAUAACUCACUCAAGCUUACCCAGCAGAACUGGGACAGACGAGUUUUCUUGACAUGAGUUAUUGUUUAGUGUUUUUAGUUGUGUCUGAUUCUUUGUGACCCUAUUUUGUUUUUUUUUAGGGGGAAAAAAGAGGGUUUUUUACCUUCCA